AUUGAACGCUGGCGGCAAGCCUAACACAUGCAAGUCGAACGAGUGGCGGACGGGUGAGUAAUGUCUGGGAAACUGCCUGAUGGAUGGGGUUAACUACUGGAAACGGUAGCUAAUACCGCAUACCAUCGGAUGUUCCCAGAUGGGAUUAGCUAGUAGGUGGGGUAAAGGCUCACCUAGGCGACGAUCCCUAGCUGGUCUGAGAGGAUGACCAGCCACACUGGAACUGAGACACGGUCCAGACUCCUACGUGAGGCAGCAGUGGGGAAUAUUGCACAAUGGGCGAAAGCCUGAUGGAGCCAUGCCGCGUGUAUGAAGAAGGCCUUCGGGUUGUAAAGUACUUUCAGCGGGGAGGCGUUACCCGAACAAGAAGCACUGGCUAACUCCGUGCCAGCAGCUGCGGUAAUUC
rnacentral:rRNA from 1 species